UUAAUAUUUGUUUUUACUGAAGAUACUGCUACUACAAAGGUUUUUGUUGGUCCUCGUGGCAGGCAAGCCCACCGAGGAAACGAACGGUACUCAUAAACAAAGGGUGCUAUCUCAAUGGGGCCGAAGCCCCACGGUAAUGAUCCUUCCGCAGGUUCACCUACGGAAA
rnacentral:misc_RNA from 1 species